UUACUUCUACUUCUCUGGAAUGACUCCUAUUUGUUUUUUGUUUGAGUCGGAGCACUUUUGUCUGCAUCUGGUGACAUUGCAGAAACAAGUGAGGACUUGAGGUUCAGCUUUUAGUUCUUUUUUCAUGAUUUGUAAAUAUAUUUCUGGGAGCUUGUAAUAUAUAUACACAGAGGAAACAGCAAAACUUGUUUUUGUUUUUCUUCAAGUGAGCAAAAACAACUUGAAAUGAAAACGGGAAACAGCAUUUCCUUUUUUUCUCAAGACAUACAUUCCAGAGCCCUUUCAAUAAAAUGUUUUACUUAAUUUCAAGAUCCAAGUUUUAGUUUCAGUUGGGAAUAAACUUCCUCUCAUUCCUUGUUAUUUCCACAACAGAUAACUUUCUAAAUCACAGACAUCAAUAAAUAGUACUUCUCACUUAUACUUUUACAGCUAUUGAAAGGAUUAAGUUUCUUUUUAACAUCAUAACAUAUACUUACAAGGUACCGUUGAUUCCCACGUUAGCAUAUGUAGGGUGAAAAAUUGUAGUGCGAGCAAAACUUGUACAUUUUGUUUCCCUUUAAACAAGCAAUGUAAGAUAGGUCAAACUAGUCAAAGUAGUUAUCAAAAAGUUAGCUAAUCUAUAUCAAAUUAAAGAGUAUCAUAAAUAUGGAUAACGUAAUGAGUCAGUCAUCAUAUUGUUGGUUAUACAAGUGAAAUGAUGAGUAUUCAAAAUACAGCCCCUCUGAAAGAAUUGGAACAGCAAGGUCAAUUUAUUUGUUUUUGUUCUAUGCUGAAGGCAUUUAGGUUUCAGAUUAGAAGAUUAAUGUGAGAAAAGUUCAGAUUUCCAUCUUUUAUUUCAUGGUACAUCUUACGGUAUUGGGCGAAGCAAGUACAAGAAUUUGGAAUGUCCUCAAAAAGAGAAACUACUGGGGUACUGAGUAAUAGACAUCAAUCAGGUUGGCCAAGGGUAUCAACAGCGGUUGAUGACAAACAUUGUGAGCACUGUGAAGAAAUGUACAAAGACAACAGUCAGUGAUAUCACUGCCAACCUCCACAGGGCAGGGGUGAAUAUCACAAUCCACUGUUCGAAGAAGAUUUAAAAAGAAAUAUACAGGCCAUACCACAAUGUGUCAACCACUCAUCAGCAAAAAGAAUUGAAAGCCCAGAUUAGAUUUUGCAAAGAUACAGAGAUGACCCACAAAUGUUUUGGAACAAAAUUUUAUGGAUUUGAAAGAACCAAGAUUAAUCUCGACCAAACUGAUGCAGAAGUCAAAGUAUGGGGAAAGAAAGGAUUUAAAACAGGUGCUCAUGAGGGCACCGGUGGAAAUUCAGAUGAGGGUUAAAGAUGACGGAGAGGUGCAAAGGAGGUUCUUAAGCAGAAAGACCGGAGGAAAGCACAGAGCAUGGAAAAAGUUGAUAUAGUUGUUAUAGGUAUAUCUGAUUAUAGGAUGAUGUCCAAGAGAGGAAGUGGAAAGGCAGUGAGGCGAGAAGCUCAGGUGCAGGGUUCAUGAAAUUUUAUGAUGGUGUAGAUAGGAAUAGAAAUGGAGUUGGGAAUGUUAGCUAGUUAGUAGUAAUAAUCUUCUUCUUUUCCUUUCGGAUUGUCUCGUUUGGAGUCGCCACAGAGUGUCAUCUUUUUCCAUCGUAAGCCUAUCUUCUGCAUCUUCCUCUCUAACCCCAACUGCCAUCAUGUCUUCCCUCACAACAUCCAUCAACCUUCUCUUUGAUCUUCCUCUUGCUCUUUUCCCUGGCAGCUCCAUCCUCAGCACCCUUCUACCAAUAUACUGACUCUCGCCUCUGAAGAUGUCCAAACCCUCAAAGUCUGCUCUCUCGAACCUUGUCUCCAAAACAUCCAACUUUGGCUGUCCCUCUAGUGAGCUCAUUUAUAAUCCUAUCCAACCUGUUCACUCCAAGCGAGAACCUCAGCAUCUUCAUUUCUGCUACCUCCAGUUCUGCUUCCCAUUUUUUUCUUCAGAGCCACCGUCUCUUAUCCGUACAUCAUGGCCGCCCUCACCACUGUUUUAUAAACUUUGCCCUUCAUCCUAGCAGAGACUCUUCUGUCACAUAACACACCAGACACCUUCCGCCAGCUGUUCCAAUCUGCUUGGACCUGUUUCUUCAAUUUAGUUAAUAGUAAGAAACAGCUAAAAAAUGUCUUAUAGGUGAAAAGAAGCUUGAAAAAUGAGAGUGUAAUCUAAAGCACAUUGAAUUACCUUGUGUAUGAAAUGCACUAUGCGACUACAUUUGCUUUUCUUUUUCACAGGGGUCAGAAAGGUUUUGAUUUUUUUGUGUCUUAAUAAAUUUAAUUGUAAUUUCAAUAAACCCGAAGCCGCAAGAACUCUAAAUUUUGGAAACUACUUAAUCUUUGAUACUAAUAAUACGAGCAUAAUGGGCAAAAAUGUUGAACAGGUUUCCUAAAUCCAAGCGGAUGGCUUUCAUGGAGGAUUUAGGAAAUCAAAGUACUGACACGACAGCUUGAAAUCAAGAGGUUUUGGGAUUUCUAAAACAAAAUUAAACACAAAAAAAACUUUUCCUUUCCAUUUUGUGUUUUGCUGGCAAGCAUGAUGUUUGACCAAAUUGUAUGUUUCAAUGAUGUAACUGGUCAUAUAAAUAUCUGGCUACUUAUGCUUAUAAAAUUAAUUACAAAACAACAAUUUGUCAUAUGCAAGGCUGCACCACGGCAAAGAUAGGCAUGGCCUGAGAACCUCCGGUUUCAUCUAUGACACCUGUCGCCGGUCACACCUGUUUCACAUGAGGCACUGUCAUUAGACCCUGUAUUUAAGUUGAGGUUUUGUCACUGGCAUUUGCCAGUUCGUUGAGUAUGCUUGACCGCAUCCAUGGUUACUCUGCCACGCUUUUAUUAUGCUUUUUAUAGUUAAUAGUUAUCGGACAUUGUUUCUUGUUUUUUGGAUCCUGCCUUCUUGGACUGUGUUGUCGUGCACAACGUUUGUUUAUAAUAGAAACCCACUGAACAUCAUGCCUUUGACUGGGAGUUCUGGAUUUGGAUCCGCCCCCGCACCGCUGGUUUAUGACAGAAUGAACUGGCCAGAACAGGACCCAGCAGGGAAGACGGUGCUGACUCCUCGGCCGCCACACGUUCCUGUCUUGAUGGCGACUGGUCCACAGUCAUCUCACAUCCCUGUUUCAGCGGCAACCCGUCCACAGCCGCCUCCAUUCCUGUCUCGGCAGUGACAGAGACCGAGCUGCCGCUGAUCCACGUCAACCCCUCGACGAUGCUCACAUUCUUGUCUAGGCGGCGACCCGUCCUCGGCCGCCUCAUGCUCCUGUCUCGAUGGUGACUGUUCCGUGCCCUCCUCAUGCCCCUGUCUCGACGGUGGCCACCUCCCUCUCUUGCUUUGAUGGCGACCAGUCAGUGGCCGCCUGAUGACCAUGCUUCAACGUCGACCGAUUCCCGGCUGUCUGACGGCCAUGCCUCGGCGCCGACUGAUCUUCGGCCGCCACACGACCAUGCCUUGGGGGUGGGGGGGGUUCUAUGAUGUGCAAGGCUGGACCACCGAUCUGAGAGGUUUCAUCUCUGACACUUGUCGCUGGUCACAGCUGCAGAGUUCGUAUGGGUCAGGGAAUUUCUGUAAUGCCAUGGGAACAAACAUUGCCUUUUCCAGGUCUUGGAAAGUCCAGGAAAUAAAAAAAAGUAUUUGGCUUGUGUCAGGGAAUGUCAUGGGAUUUUCAGUCACCGUGACUUGACGGGUGCGAUCGCACUUGCAAAUCUGCACAGUCGAGCACGAAAACUCACGCACGUAAAAUUUGUUACGAGUAGAAAUACAUAGACAUCCUCAGUGCACAUGAAAACCAAUCCAGCGCAGUGAACCACAGCCUGACUUUUUUUUCUCAACACUGAAGCACACCAUCUCCUGAUAGUUUACCUGACUCCGCCCCCUUUUGGCUCUUAAACGGGUGCACUCAUAAUUACAAACACCGUUAAACAUGCUGCUUGUUUACUCUCGAUUAAUGAUGGUAAAAGUAAAAAAAAAAAAAAAAAACAAGUGCUGUUGCUUUAAUGAAUUUCAGGGUAUGUGAAUAAUAGAAGAAAAAGUGGUGAAACUGGAUGAGAUUUUCUCUUUUUUUUUUUUUUUUUUUUUUUAGUAAAAAAGGUCUGGUCUGAAGCCAAAGUAGAGAAUACAGGAUGAGAUGGGGUGUAAGGUUAAAAUUCCACAGCCUGAUAGAGGAUUAAAGCAUAGACAAGUGCAUAAAAAGCUAAUUCUGUAUUUCAAAAUAUAGAAGACCUCAUAACAUUAACCUUCAAACUGGUUGGUAGCUUUCAGCUUUCAACAUGCAUUCCUAAAGAUGUUCUGCAAGCAAUAAUUCAAUCUUAAACCAAGAAAAACAGAAGGGGAUAUCAUUGUGGGUUAAAAAAAAAAUAAAACAAAGUUGGAUGUGAUAUUUCACAUUUUACAGUUCAGAGUUGGCUUGGUUUGGUUAUCAAUGUAUUUUUUUGUCUGUUGACAUUUUCAUUGUAAGUUUUCAAAAACAAAAUUGUUCUUAAAAAUGUUCUGAUGGGAAUGUAAAUGCUGUCAUCUGAAUCUUUGAAUGAGGUAUGUAACUUCAACGGAUGACACUGAUCUGACCACAGUGCAUAUGUCUGAUGUUGCUCACGGUGGUCAAAGGGGACUCUUACGGCCUUAGUGUGUUUGCUCAGACACGUAAAAAAUUAGAAGGAACGUUGGUUGUAGGCAAGUUUGAAGCCCAAGGCUUGCUUGCGUAAAGCCUUUGUAAAUGAAGAAUACUCUUACCUUAUAACACAGCAGAUAAGAACCCACUUACAAGCAUGCUUUACUGCAAUGUUGUAGUGAUAGGAUAAGCAAACUCAAAGGCGAAUGCCUUUGUAAUAGCAUGCCCAUGUCCCUGCUGAUUACGUGCAAAGCCAAUGAGCUUUUUAUCAACAAUACUUUUAUACACUUGUAAUUAUAGUUUGUAUUUUUAAUAAUCAUGAAGUUCACAGUCAUUAUGAUACACCUACUACAUUGUUAAGCUUUGGCAAUUAUUAUUUAAAUGCCAACACAUGGUCAUAUAGCUGAAAUAUUGCUGUAUGCCACAACCAGUCAAUCCAAUAUUAAUCAUGGAAUUUUGUAUUGAGUAACUGGAAAGUCAUGGAAAAUUAAUGGAAUUUUGAUUCUCUGGAAGUGUACGAACCCUGCAGCUGUUUCACAUGAGGCACUGUGAUUAGACCAUGUGUUUAAGUUGGAGUUUUGCCACUAGCAUUUGCCAGUUCAUUGAAUAUCCUUUACCGUAUCCAUGGUUACUUCACCGCUGCACCUUUACAGUCCUGACACGCUUGUAUCCUCUUUUGUUGUCUCAUAGUUAUUGGACAUUGUUUCUUGUUUUUUGGAUCCUGCCUUCUUGGACUGUGUUGUUGUGCACAACUUUAGUUUAUAAUAAAACUUACUGAAUAUCA